GUCUCUGCAGCACAGUGGAAGAGCACAAGUGUUGUAAACCAAAGGUCGUGAGUUCAAUCCUUACAGGAGGCA